ensembl:lncRNA
UUUGUGUGAAAUGGGCUAAUGAUUUAAAUAUCUCAGAGAAAUGAAAGGUGCAUCAAGUGAGCGCCUGGUAAAAGUGAUCGCGGGCUCGCGGAAAUGACAGGCGCGCGGAUGAGCUCGCGCUUGCUGAGGGACCCUGGUGAUGGAGCUGCGGCUGCUGCUGACACUGGAAGAUUAGCGGUGAGCAGCACUUUCAGUACACGCCGGUCUGUGUGAGGAUGAUUGUGAGAGACUCUGCUGGAAUUUGGCAGGCCUGCUGCUUGGAGAGGCGCCCCACGCUGUGACUCCCAUUCAGCGGUCCAGCGCGCUGUGAGGUUGGGAAGUUUCACUGAGCCGUGCACUCAAUGGCUCCACAAAGCUGAUUAC